rnacentral:lncRNA from 1 species
ACUUUUCUGUAGUACAAUAUGCAUGUUGCAUCCAAUUUUGAGGUGUAUUUUGACCUACUUUUACUGAGAGAAUAAGAAAGAUGGAUGUAGUAAUUGAGUCACAAAAGACAUUCUACACUGAGAAAAUUGCAGAAAACAGUGAUUAUGCUGCACAAAAUAUGCACCUUUUACAACAAAUAUCAGAGAAAAAUAAACAAAUCACAGAGUUAGAAAGAAAUAACAAUCAACAGCUUUGGGAAAA